GGCUUGAUGGUGUAGUUGGUUAUCACGUCAGUCUAACAUCUCACGAUGGAACACUGAAGGUCGGGAGAUCGAGCCUCCCUCGAGUCA
rnacentral:tRNA from 1 species